rnacentral:lncRNA from 1 species
GGAGGAAGAGUUUCGCUCAGCUGCUUGGGUGUGGGACUGAAUGUGGUUCCAGAACUGGUCGCUGCCUUCACCCGCUGACUCUGGUCUCGGCGAUGACAAGCCCAUGGAACAGACUUACGGCGUAUGACCUCAUCGGAGACUUGUACAUGGGGCCAACCCCCAUUUUCCCACAGGAAACCCACACUCUAAUUAAGGGCUGACCCUGAACUUGAAUCUGAGUCUUCUCUUUCUUCAACAGAGAGCCAUCUCUCCAGCCCAGCUGGCAAGGAGACAGGUGAUGUUACAGGAAAAAAUACACAGCUUGUGCCCUUGGAAUUACCAGAGUUCAAAGCCUGUUCAGCAUCUACCCACCAUGUGACCCGGGUCGAAUUCUUCAGUUUCUCUAAGCCCAUUUUCUCAUCUGUAAGAUGGGGAAGUGUAAUCAGUUCUGAACCCACAUAUACCUCACUGGGCUUGAACAGGCCUGAGCAGGCAUGUGGGGCUUUACUAGCUAGCCAUCCUUUCUGCCGCUCUCCCUCAUUCUCCUUCAAGCCCCCCAAAGUCCUUGGUGGAGGAGGAAGUGGAGACAGAACGUUUGGUGUUGGGUGAGGUACGUGAGGAGGCUGAUUUCAGAACCUCCAGGAAACAAAGCUUUAGUGUUCCGAGGGCAGUGCCCGCCUGUGCCUCCUCCUCACAGGGGGUAGUAGGAGUGGGGUGGGGCCGAGGCAUUUCCCAGCACAGCUCAAUCACAUCUCCUGCGCCUGCCCUUGUGACCUGCUCACUGGAAAGGAAGAAAUGACCGAGGGAGAAGGGAGGGCAUUUGAGGUGAGUGCCUGAACU